rnacentral:lncRNA from 1 species
UUUAUCACUACCUGAUGGAUACUUCCUGUUUCUGGAUGACAUGAUAUUGAUAACACACUGCUGCAAAUGAAAAAAAAUCAUUGCAUCAUUUGUUGAAUAGUGCCUGCUAUGCAUCAAUGAACGACAAUAUGAUUAAGAUAUACCCGACGGUCGAAUCUGUGAUGACUGAAUACUGAUGAGCGUCAGUGCGUGUGCCUAUGCUGCUAUACAUGGCCAAGAGGCUAGAGUCAGAGAGCAAUUCAAUUUAGCAAACCGGAUGACGACGGGGACCUUGGGAAUUGUAAUCACUAAUCAGCGGCGCCGGUGAACUGGAUUUGGAAGGAGUUACUCGUAGGAGAAGGGGGCGGCAGUAUGGCGUCGGCG